AUUAUAUGGUAUAGAGCUAUAUUUAACUUGGAAUGUUCUUCACAUAACAGAAGUUAUAACAAAACUACUUAUGAAAGUUGGCUAUAGUAAUCAGAUGAAGAAUUUAUAUGUCUGAAAUCUGAAGUGAUGUUCCUAAUAAGACCAGACCUUUGUCUUUCCUGUACCCUCUGCCAUUUCUGAAGAGUGGAAGCACGUGUACCAAAUCUGCGCUGGGAAGAGAAUGCUUCAACAUGUCCAGCCCUACCAAUAGGCAAAGUGAGGCAGCUGCUUCAGGUGGCAGAUGCUGGGAGACAGUGAGCUGUGUGUGCCCUGUGGCCUACUCUGCACCUCUGCUGGCCUUGAGGAUGCCAUCCCUUUGCCAUGUUGCAGUAAAAAUCCACUGGCAGGCUGGUCAGCAUCUCUGUGUGGAAUGAGAGAGGUGUCAUCUUGUCCUUCAUUGCAAGUAGCAAAAUAUCGUAGACCAGCCCCAGCAAUCACGACCUGGUGUAACCCUUUACAAAAUUUUACUCUGCUUUUAUAUAUUUUCCAAUCAAGCCUCUGGAGAGACAGCAAAGGACUAAUGCAAAGGCAAACAACUUCUAACACUUAUACAUCAAGAAAUAUCCUGUCUUGAUCAUAUAUGGAUGUAUGGAUUCUAUGUAAAUACCUUAAUAAAAUAAUCAAACAUUA